AUUGAACGCUGGCGGCAGGCUUAACACAUGCAAGUCGAGCGGGGGAAGGUAGCUUGCUACUGGACCUAGCGGCGGACGGGUGAGUAAUGCUUAGGAAUCUGCCUAUUAGUGGGGGACAACAUCUCGAAAGGGAUGCUAAUACCGCAUACGUCCUACGGGAGAAAGCAGGGGAUCUUCGGACCUUGCGCUAAUAGAUGAGCCUAAGUCGGAUUAGCUAGUUGGUGGGGUAAAGGCCUACCAAGGCGACGAUCUGUAGCGGGUCUGAGAGGAUGAUCCGCCACACUGGGACUGAGACACGGCCCAGACUCCUACGGGAGGCAGCAGUGGGGAAUAUUGGACAAUGGGGGGAACCCUGAUCCAGCCAUGCCGCGUGUGUGAAGAAGGCCUUAUGGUUGUAAAGCACUUUAAGCGAGGAGGAGGCUGCUCUAGUUAAUACCUAGGGAUAGUGUACGUUACUCGCAGAAUAAGCACCGGCUAACUCUGUGCCAGCCGCCGCGGUAA
rnacentral:rRNA from 1 species